rnacentral:rRNA from 1 species
CCAUGCAGUCGACGGUGAAGCAGAGCUUGCUCUGUGGAUCAGUGGCGAACGGGUGAGUAACACGUGAGCAACCUGCCCCUGACUCUGGGAUAAGCGCUGGAAACGGCGUCUAAUACUGGAUAUGUGACGUGACCGCAUGGUCUGCGUCUGGAAAGAAUUUCGGUUGGGGAUGGGCUCGCGGCCUAUCAGCUUGUUGGUGAGGUAAUGGCUCACCAAGGCGUCGACGGGUAGCCGGCCUGAGAGGGUGACCGGCCACACUGGGACUGAGACACGGCCCAGACUCCUACGGGAGGCAGCAGUGGGGAAUAUUGCACAAUGGGCGGAAGCCUGAUGCAGCAACGCCGCGUGAGGGAUGACGGCCUUCGGGUUGUAAACCUCUUUUAGCAGGGAAGAAGCGAAAGUGACGGUACCUGCAGAAAAAGCGCCGGCUAACUACGUGCCAGCAGCCGCGGUAAUACGUAGGGCGCAAGCGUUAUCCGGAAUUAUUGGGCGUAAAGAGCUCGUAGGCGGUUUGUCGCGUCUGCUGUGAAAUCCGGAGGCUCAACCUCCGGCCUGCAGUGGGUACGGGCAGACUAGAGUGCGGUAGG